AACCCCAUCCUGACCCAAACAGAGCCACAACUCCCUUUCUGAAAAGCUGAGCAGUGCCACUAUGUUUGCUCUGCAAACCUGCAGGCAGCUUCCUUCCCCAGGGAGUAACCACCAAAAACCCCACACCUCGUGUGCACCAGCCAUGCAAAAACCUGUAAAGGGACCAGAACAGUCCAAUUCAGGACUCCUGUCUACCUCUGAAGCUUCACCAAGUCCAAAAGCAGCUCAGCUCCUGGAAGGACUCACCCUGCAAGAAAGUUCAGCAAAUAUCAAUAAUCACAACAGCUGAUACAGACUUCUGGGAUACA